CCCUUAGAUGUUCUGGGCUGCACGCGCGCUACACUGAAGCGUUCAACGAGUAUUCACCUUGCCCGGGAGGGUUGGGUAAUCUUUUGAAAACGCUUCGUGAUGGGGAUAGAUUAUUGCAAUUAUUAAUCUUCAACGAGGAAUUCCCAGUAAGCGCGAGUCAUCAGCUCGUGCUGAUUACGUCCCUGCCCUUUGUACACACCGCCCGUCGCUCCUACCGAUUGAGUGAUCUGGUGAAUAAUUCGGACUGCAGCACUGCUUGGUCUCCAGGCUUUGCAGCGGAAAGUUUAGUGAACCUUAUCACUUAGAGGAAGGAGAAGUCGUAACA
rnacentral:rRNA from 1 species